rnacentral:misc_RNA from 1 species
GAUGAAGAACGCAGCGAAAUGCGAUACUUGGUGUGAAUUGCAGAAUCCCGUGAACCAUCGAGUCUUUGAACGCAAGUUGCGCCUCAAGCCAUUAGGUUGAGGGCACGUCUGCCUGGGCGUCACAUAUCGUUGCCUGAUGCCAGUUUCCUCGUGAUGGGUGACUGUGCAGGGCGAAUGAUGGCUUCCCGUGAGCAUUGUUGCCUCAUGGUUGGUUGAAAAUUGAGUCCUUGGUAGGGAGCGCCGUGAUAGAUGGUGGUUGAGUGACGAACGAGACCCAAUCAUGUGAGACCCCUACCGAAUUUGGCCUUCAUGACCCACAUGCGUCUUUGGAACGCUCAUGACGAGACCUCAGGUCAGGCGGGGCUACCCGCUGAGUUUAAGCAUAUCAAGCGGAGGA